CCCUGAUCACUCCGCUAGCGCCAGAGCUGUUGGGACUUUGGCAUCGUGUCUGCAGCUGCAUUGGCGCCUGGCUGCUUCACAGCUGGAGGAGACCCAGUGCCUGAACCAGGAGCCUAACGGCCCUUCGCCUUCAUAUCAGGCAGCCACCUUGCUCUCAGGGAAGGCUGCAGGGGUAACACCGCCGCCCUCGGAAAUUGGGAUUGAACUCACAUUACCAUGGAACUACAUACCCAGCCCUUCAUGUAUUUUUUUUGAGAUGGGAUCUCACCACGUUGCCCAUGCUGGACUAGAACUUGGGAUCCUCCCGCCUCCACCAUCCACAUAGCAGAGACUGCACAUGCUUGCCACUGCAAAGAUAGAAAACAAAAUUGAUUUUACAUUGGACACUUUUUGCUUUAAACUAGGGAUUGCACUCCAUCUCUCUGGUUGGAUCAUUUCAAUAGAAGUCUCUACUCUCACUGACUUACUGUCCUCAGGAAAACAGGUGGAAGUGUCCAUUCCAGGCUGUGGGGAGAAGGUGACACAUGUGCAGCAAGUCACCAUGCCACCAUCAUUCCCUUCAGCUCCGUGCAUACAGAGCACAGUCCAGGAGUAGAAGGAGCCCACACCUGGCCCACAGCCUCAGCAGAAUGUUGCUCCUUGCCUUGGACAUGGCCCCACAUGUGCUGUAUACUCAUCUGGAGCAGCCUUAGUCCCUUUGCUCCUCUGAGUCCUACAGGACUGCAAGAGCCAAACAUGCCUUUCCAGGUGAGUGUUUGGAAAUGAACUUGUAAACAUAGAACUUCUAAGGAUGUCCUUUCUCUCAGUCCUGCAGAGGCUUAAGAUAAUGGAUUCUGCCUCUUAUUUGGUAAACAGGUUGGUUUACAAAGGGUGUUCAUAGGGAUCGGGCUGCACACCAUUUUAGAGGUAGACAUUUCUAUUGUGGCACAAAUGGUGUACUUAUGUCAGCUGCCUAUAAGUGCAACAAUUAGUUCUUGAAGUGUUUAGUAUAUUUUAAUUUCAUUGUGAAAACUGGACAUUUUUAAGGGAAGUAAAAAUCUUAAGGAAAAACAUAAUAAUCCAGUCAUUCAACAGACUGGUUUACUUGAAAUAAAUUCAAAAGUAAAAAUAGCAACAGUUUUCCCCUACUGGGAUAGAAAAGUUACCUGCAUACUUCUAAAUUAUA